AGGAGGUGCGGAACGCCAGGGCGGUGGUGUCAGUGCUGCGCGAGCGCGCGGCGGCGUGGAUGGAGACACGCCACGUGGCGGCUGUGGAAGACCGCUUCCGCACCGAUCUCACCGUCCUCGCGGCCGUGUGAGAGCGCCAAGGAAGGCGGGCUUCGUCGACGCGAUGUGGCUGUUGUUUGAUCGACGUCAGAUGAGGGUAUUUACCCGCCGCGAUGGCGACCACCACCCCGCACCCUCGCCUACACAAACGGAUAUACCCGCGAGGACCGUAGCACCUCGAAGCGCAGUUGGUCUAGUGGUAGAAUUCUCGCCUGCCACGCGGGAGGCCCGGGUUCGAUUCCCGGACUGCGCACGCCUUUUUGCAGGCGGCGCCCGACCCGAGUACGGGUGGGGAAAACCCGGCUUGCUGCACAUCG